rnacentral:lncRNA from 1 species
GAAACCUAUUUUGAUGCUUUCUCCAUCAACCUACCAACUUAACACCACUUUUAAACAAAAAGGAAUGCAACCAGCUUGACAUUUAUCAAGAUAGCUUGGAGACAACAAAUAUGUUGCAAGCCUGAAGACAGGUGCAUUACCACUAAGAAGGGUUUUGUUAUGAAUGUUCUCAUUACAGUGUGUCAUGGAUAACUAACAGCAUAGAGUUUGUGCCUUGAGGUUCAGCUUUGCUGUUGUUAUAUUGCUGUCACAUGAUUUUAUGCUAAUCUUUUAGAUUAAAUGGUAAAUAUAAAAGUCUUUAUUCAAUUAACAAAGAAGUAGUCAUUAAAAGAUGGUGAUUGAAAUAAAAUGGUGAGAAAUAUUAUCCUCUUAAAUAAGAAAUUGCUGCAUGAGUGGACACAAGCAGUACAGGAAGGGAUGGAAUAAAGCUGAAAAAGAGAAAAAGCAAUACCAAGACAUGCCUCAGCUCUCUGUUUGGAAGGAACUUUUGAUAAGAAACUGGUCAGCCAUUCUGAGAGUGGUGGAAAGCCUGUCAAGGUCACUGCCAAGGACAAGAGAGUCAAUUAGUAUGCAGAUCAGAGCCAAGGAGUUCAAAGGUGUGAUGGCAGAUUAAAUCCAUGACAGGAAACAGUGAUAAUGCCCACUGUAGAGCCAUGUGGUGUAAAGGUCCCUAAGAAUGGUACAACUGAAAUGGGAGGAUGAAGAAAUGUAUUGGCUAUGACAAGAAGAAGUAAUUGCUUUUCCUCAAAGGAUCAGAUGUGGUAUAGUUGUUUGAAAAACAAUCUAAACAACAUUUUGUUCACCAUUGAUUUUAAAAGCAUUAAAAUUAGUUUUUAUGCAGCUAUACUCAUUAAGCUUUUAUGUAUACUGUGUAGGGUGAAUAGUUAAGAAGCAAUAAAGCAUUCUGCAGUAAAAUAUACUUUGCCA